rnacentral:rRNA from 1 species
AGAGUUUGAUCCUGGCUCAGGAUGAACGCUGGCGGCGUGCUUAACACAUGCAAGUCGAACGGAGUUUUUAACGGAAGUUUCGGAUGGAAGUUUAAGAACUUAGUGGCGGACGGGUGAGUAACGCGUGGGUAACCUGCCUCAUACAGGGGGAUAACAGUUAGAAAUGACUGCUAACACCGCAUAAUAUAGUGAAACCGCAUGAUUUUUGCUAUCAAAUAUUUAUAGGUAUGAGAUGGGCCCGCGUCUGAUUAGCUAGUUGGUGGGGUAAAAGCCUACCAAGGCGACGAUCAGUAGCCGGCUUGAGAGAGUGACCGGCCACAUUGGGACUGAGACACGGCCCAAACUCCUACGGGAGGCAGCAGUGGGGAAUAUUGGACAAUGGGGGAAACCCUGAUCCAGCGAACCGCCGCGUGAGUGAAGAAGUAUUUCGGUAUGUAAAGCUCUAUCAGCAGGGAAGAUAAUGACAGUACCUGACUAAGAAGCCCCGGCUAACUACGUGCCAGCCGCAGC